UGCAGUCGAGCGGACAGAUGGGAGCUUGCUCCCUGAUGUUAGCGGCGGACGGGUGAGUAACACGUGGGUAACCUGCCUGUAAGACUGGGAUAACUCCGGGAAACCGGGGCUAAUACCGGAUGGUUGUCUGAACCGCAUGGUUCAGACAUAAAAGGUGGCUUCGGCUACCACUUACAGAUGGACCCGCGGCGCAUUAGCUAGUUGGUGAGGUAACGGCUCACCAAGGCGACGAUGCGUAGCCGACCUGAGAGGGUGAUCGGCCACACUGGGACUGAGACACGGCCCAGACUCCUACGGGAGGCAGCAGUAGGGAAUCUUCCGCAAUGGACGAAAGUCUGACGGAGCAACGCCGCGUGAGUGAUGAAGGUUUUCGGAUCGUAAAGCUCUGUUGUUAGGGAAGAACAAGUGCCGUUCAAAUAGGGCGGCACCUUGACGGUACCUAACCAGAAAGCCACGGCUAACUACGUGCCAGCAGCCGCGGUAAUACGUAGGUGGCAAGCGUUGUCCGGAAUUAUUGGGCGUAAAGGGCUCGCAGGCGGUUUCUUAAGUCUGAUGUGAAAGCCCCCGGCUCAACCGGGGAGGGUCAUUGGAAACUGGGGAACUUGAGUGCAGAAGAGGAGAGUGGAAUUCCACGUGUAGCGGUGAAAUGCGUAGAGAUGUGGAGGAACACCAGUGGCGAAGGCGACUCUCUGGUCUGUAACUGACGCUGAGGAGCGAAAGCGUGGGGAGCGAACAGGAUUAGAUACCCUGGUAGUCCACGCCGUAAACGAUGAGUGCUAAGUGUUAGGGGGUUUCCGCCCCUUAGUGCUGCAGCUAACGCAUUAAGCACUCCGCC
rnacentral:rRNA from 1 species